rnacentral:rRNA from 1 species
GACAAGGUUCCAGGCCCUACGGGGUGCAGCAGGCGCGAAACCUCCGCAAUGUGAGAAAUCGCGACGGGGGGAUCCCAAGUGCCAUUCUUAACGGGAUGGCUUUUCAUUAGUGUAAAGAGCUUUUGGAAUAAGAGCUGGGCAAGACCGGUGCCAGCCGCCGCGGUAACACCGGCAGCUCUAGUGGUAACAAUUUUUAUUGGGCCUAAAGCGUCCGUAGCCGGUUUAAUAAGUCUCUGGUGAAAUCCUGCAGCUUAACUGUGGGAAUUGCUGGAGAUACUAUUAGACUUGAGACCGGGAGAGGUUAGAGGUACUCCCAGGGUAGAGGUGAAAUUCUGUAAUCCUGGGAGGACCGCCUGUUGCGAAGGCGUCUAACUGGAACGGUUCUGACGGUGAGGGACGAAAGUUAGGGGCGCGAACCGGAUUAGAUACCCGGGUAGUCCUAACUGUAAACGAUGCGGACUUGGUGUUGGGGUGGCUUUGAGCUGCUUCAGUGCCGAAGGGAAGCUGUUAAGUCCGCCGCCUGGGAAGUACGGUCGCAAGACUGAAACUUAA